rnacentral:rRNA from 1 species
GUGCGGAUUGGAUAAACGCUGAAAGCAUCUAAGCGUGAAGCCAUCUCCAAGAUAAGAUAUCCCAUAGCAUAAGCUAGUAAGACCCCUCAAGGACUAUGAGGUUGAUAGGUUGCAUGUGUAAGUGCAGUGAUGCAUUCAGCUAGGCAAUACUAAUAGGUCGAGGGCUUGACCAU